CCCAGCACUUUAACAACAAUAAUAAUGUAAAAACCACUCUCACGCAGAAGGAAGAGAAAGUAGCUUCGGCUUCCCGCCCCAGCCGAGGCCCUUCCUGCCUGGCUCCCUUCCCACCCACUCCCAGCUUCACGUUUCUCCCAAGCUCACUACUACCCCGUUUCCUUCCUCUUCUCCUUCUCUUUCCAGAACGCCAGCUCCCCCAGGAGCCAGCCUCGCGUCUGCCCGGCACUGCUGGAUCCACAGUGCCCGGGACAGGACCUGGGUCGCAGCAGGCUCUCAACAACUCAGCUGAAGGAACAAAUCACUGCAGCGCAGAUCAACUCAGAGCCUUGCAACCGUGGGGCGCAGCUGCGGCCUGCUCCUCGGACACCGAGGCUCGGAAGAACGUGACCAGCCGCUCCUCCCGUUACACACCGUCAUUCCGCACUCAUCCUACCAGUGCUACCACUAGAGAGACAGAAAGGAGACACACAAAGCCAGGAUCAAAGUGCACAAAGGAGGUGCCAGGAAGUCACCCGGCUCUGGUCUGGUGCUAACAAACAAGAGGAGAUGGGAAAUCCUGUGUGGCUGGCAGUUCCACAAACACCGCGCUCCUCCAGGGCUCGGCCCCUCCUGCCGCAGCUGAGUGGGCGCAGGCGUGUGCGGAGCACGGGGUGGGGAGCAGAAAUGCCUCUGCAGGGUGGACAUGCAUGGAAGCAAAGGAAACACAAGGAAGGGAGGCAGAGCAGGCAGGGCGGAGGGGCAAGGGCACUGAGAGAGGCCUGCCGGGAACACAACGCCAGCAGGGAAGGAGAAGGUGGGGGAGGACAGGGAGGAAGAAAUCAGAGAACACGCAUGCGCCCAGGGAGGGUGGCGGCGCCCUGUGCACCCAGGAGCAGCGAGCUACACUGUUAUGCUGCAAACAGGUCUGAAGGCCCUGCAAGCCUUGGCUCCACUCUCCAAAGCUGCAGGCACAGGUGGAAAGAGUACUACGGUGCCAUUUAGCCGACAUCUUAUGUGUCCCAGCCCUGCCUCCCCAAGCCCCUGCCAGACUCACCGUGACCACGCUGUGCUAGGAUCCCGGCCGCCGCGGCAGCCUUCCUCUCCCUCCCCCGGCGCUGCAGUGAGCAGCUGAGCCGGGCUCCCUGGGCACACACAGCUUCCCCACCUCCUGGAGAGCGAAGGUUAAAGAGGAAAACUCGGCAGGCAGGCACAGGACACAGCAAGGCAGCCUGCAGGCCCCAGGGCAGGGCCAGGGCGGGGCGCGGCCACUGGUCAAGGCCUGUGUGCGAAAGGCUGCCAACGCGGGGUUCAGGGCCAUCCCCGAGGAGACCUGUGUGCAGCCCCUCCUCAGACUGGACGACCCACGACAGCCAUGCAGUCCACGUCUCGAGCGUGCCCAGCACCCUCCAGGCCCCGGUUCAUGCUCCAGGACUGAAACCAAAGCUGAAGGUCACAUGGAGAGUUCUGCUCACGAUUCCUACCCGGAUGAGGACAGGGACGCAGCUCGGUGCUGCGCCUGAUUCCCAGUACUGGGAAACCAGGAAGCGCAGAGACAACUGGCUAUGAGGCCACAGGGCCUUGAGUGAGGUGCAUUUUGCCUUAUGGUUUCGUCCCCUCUCCAGGAGACCAGCUGGCCCUGCGGCAGGACCACCCGUGCACACACCGGGAAAAGGCUACGCGCUACAGUGGGGAGCCAGGGUACGCCCUGCAUCCGAGCGAAGAGAGGCUGCCUGGAUGCAGACGGACCUCUUGAAGCCUGGUCCGAAACCUUCCUCAGGCACUGAAGGCCCGGUGCCUGCCCAGCUCCCCGCCUUGGCCCCCCCACAUCAUGGUCUCGGUUCUGUGGGUCUCCGUCUGGUUUGAACCACAAAGCAAUUGCUACUUCAGUCCUGAGUCCAGGCCCGCACCCCUGUCGUCUUCCUGAAGCCCCUCCCACCCCUUCUCGGCUCCCCUACCUCCCGCUUGCCCUCUCCCACCACUCCAGAGUGCAUGGUGCUCAGCUCCACCCUGCAUUUUGCUGGGGUGCUGGGAUCAAAAUGCAGCACAUGCCAGGCAAGCACUCUACUGAGUGACACCCCAGCUUCCUUUUUUUGUGGGGCAUACUGAGGAUCAAACUCAUGUUUACCAGGCAAGUACUUGAGCCACUGAACCAAAUUCCUGGCCCUCUGAUCCCCCUGUAAUUUGAGAUAGGGUCUCACUAAACUGCCUAGGCUGGUCUUGAACUCAAGACCGUCCCGCCUCUGCCUCCCUCCUAGCUGGGAUCACAGACAUGCACAAUAUUCAGCUUCCAUUGUACUCUUUUUUUUUUUUUUUUUUUUUUUUUGUCUUUUUCCUUUUUAUCGGUACUGGGGAUCAAACUCACAUGGAGAGUCCUGCUCAUGAUUCCUACCCGGAAUACUGCCUGCUUCCAAGGCAGGUGCUUAUGCGGCUGAGCUAAAUCCCCAGCCCCCUUCCAUUUUACUCUUACACUGAAUUAUCCUAUAUUUAACUGUGAAUGAGUAAAACUUCGUUUUGAAAAACACA